AACGCACAUUGCGCUCCCUGGCAUUCCGGGGAGCAUGCCUGUUCGAGCGUCAUUAUCAACCAUCAAGCACCGCUUGGCAUUGGGCGCCGUCCUCACGGGACGCACCCUAAAGAAUUCGGCGGUGGUGUUGAACCUCAAGCGUAGUAAAAUCUUUAGCUUUCUGGGUUCGGCAUCGUUUGGCCUCGAGAAACAAACACCUAAGGUUGACCUCGGAUCAGGUAGGGAUACCCGCUGAACUUAA
rnacentral:misc_RNA from 1 species